AGACGAUAGAUUCAAGUAGAAAAAAAUUAUGUUCGUAUUUGGAUGGAAUGAGGCAUCAAAUAAAUAUCAUUCUUCAAUAAUUUUUUUUGGAUAUUUCUUUGGCAUAUUUAUGACCUCAUAGUUUCCUGGAUGGGAUCCAAUGCAAGUAUAAUAAUUCUAAGGUAAAGAUAGAGGACUUUGUCAUGCACACGUGGAGCCCAUCACAUCAGGUCUAGCUAGUGUUGAGACAGUUUCCGUGGCGCCCAAUGAAAUCCACCGUACGUCAAAAAGAGGCCUUUCACUCUCUCCCGUAACUACCAAAGCAACAAUGGCGCUCUUUCGAAGGGACCGCAAUGGAUCCAUCAGAGAGCACGGCUUACGAGGACGCACCUCCACAUCGUUGGAGAAACAGGAGGUCAGAUCUUUGACCCACGACAUCGACGACACUCUCGAUCGCGAUUUCAAGGAACGCAUGGACUGCAAGAACCAAACGAGAUCCUUCUGUUUUCUUUAGAAAGAACGGAGUCUUCCUUUGUUCUUGUCGCCGCCCUAGAUUUCUAGUCUUUUGCAAUGACGAACACAUGGUCAAUGAACGGAGAGCCUUGUUUGUUGUUGCAGGUUUGUAAAAAUGUUAAAAUAAUGGUAAAUCGAAGAAUAGAAUCAAGACAUUGGUAAAGAAAAUUUCUUUUAAUAGAACAAAACCUUGAGAAAAUGGUUACAGAGGGGUUACUACGUCCUUUCUUGUUUAUAAGUUAGAUAUAUGGUAAUAAUAUAUUGGUAAUCUUGCUAGGUUAUCUGCAUCAUUUUUAUAUUUACUACCCUAGAAAUUUUACAUGGUUCUUCUAUGAUUCUAACUACAUAUCUUAUCCCCCCUGCAUCAAUUUUAUAAAUAGAAAUUUAAAUCCUUGUUUUGCCUAUAUCAAAUCUAAAAUUUUACCAUGCUAUAAGCUGCUUAUCCAAAUCAAUUUCUAAAGUUCAUGUAUAUGUGUGGCUGUUCUUGGUUGUGACAUCAUUGUGCUUUUCUUCAAUUUAGAUAUUGGUUAACUUUAUUUGUUUAUUGUAGAAAUAUUUCUGCAGUGUAUUAUUUGAGAAAGACAACCAGGCAAAUUCAUGAAUAAUGUGUAUUCUAUCAGUGCUACCAAAUUAGAUGACUGUGUUAUUUGGGAAUUUUGGAUAUCUGGAAGCAAACACCCUAUUCUAUGAAGGAAAACUGCAGGUACGAGUUGUAUAAAGAAUUUAUAUUUCCCCCAAGAUGAUUGCAUGUAAUAUUGAGGAGCAUUGCUUCAUAGUGUUCCUUCAAAAGCAUUCUAACUAUUUCUCAUAGUUAUUUUGAAUAUAUAAUUCUCAAAAUUGAGUUGCUAUUUUGAUUUAUUAUAUUAAAGGGUAAAUGAAGAUUUAAAAGAUUAGGUAGGUGGCUAUUAGCAUGAAUAAUCAUUUUAAUUUAUGAAUGGUCAAUGCAGAUAUGUGCUAUCACUGCUAGGUAUGAUAUACUUGUUUUGUUAUUUGAUCACAAUGAGAAAUACCGAACAUAAGAUUGAUUAAAUUGCAAAAUGCUAUUGGAUUGGAAGACUUAAGCGUUCCAACAAGUGGAGUCUGGUCAUGAGCUGUCAUGAUUAACACCAUAGGAAUGGAACUCUCAGAUAACAAAUUUUGUUCUCUAUGUAAUGAAUAUUGAUAAGCAUCUGAGAUUAGCAGACCAAUCAGGACUAGUUUUAGAGAUCCAAAACCUUGGUCUUUUUGGCACUAAAACUUGUAUAUCAGGCUCUUGAUACACAGCAACAUGUACAUAGAUAUGUCAGGUUCUAGACAGACUAGAAUUUGUACCACUUAGAUUUGAAAUUUUGUGUCAGUUUACCAAAAAUCAGGGUUAGCACAGUAGACAUAUGGGGAACUUAGUUAAUUUUUUCUCUUUCAUGUUCUUAUCAAGCAAAAUUUUUAUUUUUUGAGGAAAUUUCAGAUGAAGCAAGAUAGUCUUUGUUUUUGUUUUCUGGCAAAAAAGUGGUAGUCAUCAAGUAGAUGAUUGUCUUUAGGUGACAAACUUCUUCCUUUCCUCUGAUCUCGGUCCUAUUGCAAAUUUUUAUCUGCUAGCGCUUAUGGUAUAAGCUUUACUGACUUGUGAAGUUUCAUGCGUUAUUUUCCUACUUCUCAGGGUAAAGUUUCAUGCGUUAAUACUAAUGUCUUGCGGUAAUUGAAUUUACUUUCAUUGUUGAUGCUAGGGAAGUUCAUAAUGCAGUUCUGUUUCUAUUUAUCUAAACAAAUGACAACAGUUCGUACCAUCCUCGCGUCCAAAGAAAAAAAAGGCCUCAAAACAUGAAUAUUAUUUGGGAAACGUCAAAAUUCUUGCGCUCAGCAUUUUUUUUCUUUAAUUAUUUGGAAUAAAGUAGUUCUGUGAAUUGAUUUGCCUCAAGCUUUUUUUCUUAGUAUAUAUGAUAGAUGCAUACUCACAUAUUCUCUAAACCAACGAAUUUAGCAGAAAGAAAAAUGCUCACCAUUGACAAAUUGAAAAAUGUGGAAACCGCUCGUAGAAUUUGCCAUUGUUUCUGUCGCAACGUGAUUGUGCAGAUUUUGACCGGAUGUGGAUCCAAUGCAAGUAAAAGGAAUAUGCCUCGCCAGAGUUCGUUGUUACUGUGUACGUGCAUCCAAUCCACUCAGCUCAACAACCAGCCGUUGUCAGGCACGUGGGCCCGGAGUCCGUCGGUCCACAGGCCGUUUUAAAGGUCUCCCUCCACUCUCAGUCGGUAGUUUCACAAAGGUCACUCUCGUUUGUGUUUUCCAAUGUUUCCCUCGUCUGCGUCCACCUUCUCCCUUUUGGUUUGUUAAAGAUCCCUCCAAGAUUCUCAGACCGCCUUCGUCUUCCCUUCUUUGGGGUUGGGUUUCUCUGGUUCCCAAUAACCAGAGCCGCAAUGAUGAUGCUCCUUUCGAUGGACCGCAAUGGAUCCGUCAAAGAGCACGGUCGCAAGGCUUCCCUUCCAUCUUCCGGGGGAAACCCGAUAUUAAGGUUCUUGAUCGACAAGAUCAUUCUUGAAGAGGUCGGCACUGUUGAUUGCGAGGUCAAGGUGAUGGAGUAGAUCUUGCAGAAGGUCGAGGUCGAGGUUUACAAUUCUUUCUCCCACAAAGCCAGCGAUCGGAUUUUUUUUUUUCCUUUCCCUUUAUGAUUUGGCUCUUGUUUGGGUUUGGAGGAUUCUGCUUCUUAUACUAUUUGACUUGUUCGUCGAUCCAAUUUUACUAGGGCUUUUUUGUUCUUUUUGUUUUUGGCUGUAUUCUUACGAGGGCUUUGGGUCUCGAUUGUGCUUGUUCGUUGAUUAUGACGAUCUUUUCAGCCAAGAAGGUGAGGAGUGGUGGGAUAUGGAGGUUUUCCUUCAUGGAUUCUUUUGUAUGUUCAUUGAUUCUAUGUUUUUCCUUUCUUUUUGGUUGGGUUGAUUACAUCUUUGAUUAUUGAAGUCUUGAUCCCACCAAGAAGAUGCGGGGGCGGAAGGAAUGCAAGAAAACCACAGAGGGAUGUCAUUUAGUUGCAUGCACUGCAAAUCGCAGGUGUGACCAAAAUCUUUGACGAACAGGGCAUCUUUUGUUUUCUUUAGGAAAGGCAGAGAGUCUUCCUUUCUCUCGUUCUUGUCCAAGAUUUCUAUACUCGCAGUGAUGAACAAAUCGUUGGAGAAUUUUCAUUUGUUCUUGUAGUGAUUGUAAUCAAAUUUCAAUAAAUGUGUCCUUUAAAUUUUACGUUUCA